rnacentral:rRNA from 1 species
GGCUUUAUUUGCGCAGGAUAGGUGGGAGGCUUUGAUCAUAUUUUUGCGGAAUUAUGUGAGCUGUUGGUGAGAUACCACUCUUGUAAAGCUAGAAUUCUGACCUUGUAUCGUAAGCAGGUCAGGGAACAGUUUCAGGUGGGCAGUUUGACUGGGGCGGUCGCCUCCUAAAAGGUAACGGAGGCGCACAAAGGUUUCCUCAUAUCGGUCAGAAAUCGAUAGUAGAGCGUAAAGGCAUAAGGAAGCUUGACUGCGAGACCUACAAGUCGAGCAGAGACGAAAGUCGGUCUUAGUGAUCUGACGGUUCCGAGUGGAAGGGCCGUCACUCAACGGACAAAAGUUACUCUAGGGAUAACAGGCUGAA